GGUCCCUACGGGGCGCAGCAGUGGGGGAUAUUGCACAAUGGGGGAAACCCUGAUGCAGCGACGCCGCGUGAGCGAUGAAGUAUUUCGGUAUGUAAAGCCCUAUCAGCAGGGAAGAAAAUGACGGUACCUGACUAAGAAGCCCCGGCUAACUACGUGCCCGCAGCCGCGGUAAUACGUAGGGGGCAAGCGUUAUCCGGAUUUACUGGGUGUAAAGGGAGCGGGGACGGCAGUGCAAGUCUGAAGUGAAAG
rnacentral:rRNA from 1 species